UGGCGGCGUGCCUGACACAUGCAAGUCGAACGGGUGCUAGUUGCCCGCAAGGGGUGAUUAGCGCUAGUGGCGGACGGGUGAGUAACACGUGGGCAACCUGCCUGAGAGUGCAGAAUAACCCUGCGAAAGCAGAGCUAAUACUGCAUGUGAUUGUCGGAUGGCAUCAUCUGACAACUAAAGUCGCAAGACGCUCUCAGAUGGGCCCGCGGCCUAUUAGCUAGUUGGUGAGGUAACGGCCCACCAAGGCUGUGAUGGGUAGCUGGUCUGAGAGGACGGACAGCCACACUGGGACUGAGACACGGCCCAGACUCCUACGGGAGGCAGCAGUGAGGAAUUUUCCGCAAUGGGCGAAAGCCUGACGGAGCAACGCCGCGUGAGGGAUGAAGUCUCUAGGGAUGUAAACCCCUGUUGGGUGGGACGAAGAUCUGACGGUACCACCUGAGGAAGCCCCGGCUAACUACGUGCCAGCAGCCGCGGUAAUACGUAGGGGGCAAGCGUUAUCCGGAUUUACUGGGCGUAAAGAAGCGCCGUAGCCGGUCCCCGUAAGUUGGGUUGUGAAAAGUUCGA
rnacentral:rRNA from 1 species